ACAAUUUCUCUAAGGAUUCUUUCUGGCCUUGAAAUCUUAACUGGACUUUGUGAAUCAUCAAUUGGUGGUCUUGCAGGCAACUCAGAUGGAAAAAAUGAAAUGUUAUCUGAAGUUUCCUUAGGUAAAGCUUGAUUGGUAGGAAUUGGCCUAAAUCGGCUAUGAACUGAACCAUUAGUCCCUUCUCCACAGUUCCAGAUAUGAUCAACAGAAAAAUCAGUCGAAUUCCGAGUAAGAGAGCAACUCAUAUUAUGGGAAAAAGGGUGUGAAUAAGAGCAUGACAAUGAAGCGGAAUGAGUAUUGUUAUGCGAUGAUGGUUGAAGAUCGAAUCUAUUUGAACCAGCCAAAGACAAUGAAACAUCAGGCAAAGCCAAAGAAAGGUUGAGAGGGGUUUCAAUUUUUUCUGCCUCCUCAUGUCUAGAUGAAUUCCCAUUACCAUUACCAUUAACCCCUUUACUAGAACUACUCUCAUUAAUUUGAAGAAAAUCCCUUUCAA
rnacentral:misc_RNA from 1 species